rnacentral:rRNA from 1 species
AACGAACGUUAGCGGCGCGCCUAAUACAUGCAAGUCGAGCGAGAAAGGGCUUCGGCCCCAGUACAGCGGCGCACGGGUGAGUAACACGUAGGUAAUCUUCCCUCGAGUGGUGGAUAACCCUCCGAAAGGAGGGCUAAUACAGCAUGAGACCACGAGCUCCCAUGAGCUUGCGGCCAAAGCAGGCCACUACAUGUAAGCUUGCGCUUGAGGAUGAGCCUGCGGCCCAUCAGCUAGUUGGUAGGGUAAUGGCCUACCAAGGCUAAGACGGGUAGCUGGUCUGAGAGGAUGAGCAGCCACACUGGAACUGAAACACGGUCCAGACUCCUACGGGAGGCAGCAGUAGGGAAUCUUGCGCAAUGGACGAAAGUCUGACGCAGCGACGCCGCGUGAGCGAUGAAGGCCUCGGGUUGUAAAGCUCUGUGGGGAGAGACGAAUAAGCCAUGGCUAAUAUCCAUGGUGAUGACGGUAUCUCCUUAGCAAGCACCGGCUAACUCUGUGCCAGCAGCCGCGGUAAGACAGAGGGUGCGAACGUUGUUCGGAAUUACUGGGCGUAAAGCGCGUGUAGGCGGCAGCGUAAGUCGGGCGUGAAAUCCCAUGGCUCAACCAUGGAAGUGCACUCGAAACUGCGUAGCUAGAGUCCUGGAGAGGAAGGUGGAAUGCUUGGUGUAGAGGUGAAUUCGUAGAUAUCAAGCGGAACA